UCUAGCCAACACUGUAUUGAUUAGUUUCUCCUUCAAUGCCAGCGUAUCACUUGUUGCUGAGCAACAAGACUUCUUUUAUAUGUCAUAAUGAGCCAAAUGUGAUGUUAGGAGGGCAGCUUGUGGGGUCACGGACUUCUGAAGCCUGGCAUUGCUUUCUUUCAUUCUCCCGUGGGCAGCUGUCAGCCAUAUUUACGUCGCGUGAAUGUAUGAACAGGCCACUAAGAGCUGAGUCGUUUGCCUUUCUGUGCAAAGCCAUCUCCCUCUAUCCUUGCUGAAGACAGAUCAUGAUCUUUACAUGCCAAUAUUAUCAGCUGACAGUGUCCUGCUUGUGUGUCUGGGCCUCUGCGAUCACUGCCUGGAUGGAUUCCUUUUUAUCAUGAGCAAGCUGCUGCCACAACCAAGAGGGGCCCCACCAGGAUAGUUCCUGGCCUCGGGGGACAGGUGGUGUUCUCUGCCUUGUAAGCAUAGUGUGGAGAAGUGCUGACUAUUGACAGAGUGCCAGAGAAACUAGUGCAAGCAGAAGAGGAAAUCAAAAUCUGGGGACAGUGGCUGGCAGUCUGCAUCAUUGCACCUCUGCUGAGUUUUGAACAAUUAUAAAGAGUGGACCUUUUUGCCAGUCCUGUUGAGAAUGAAAUUCUUAAUGCCAGAUGAAGGACAAACUAAACAGUAUCUGAAAUGAUUGACUGUCUUGGAUUAAAUGUCAGGAAAAAAAAAAUGAGUAAAUGGAACAUUGUGUUCCUUUCUUAAUAAUAGAAAUCAAAGUGUUUCACCAAACGUUAUUUUGCCCCUUCAGUUAGGAGUCUGUACUAUAAAUAUGCUAAAUAAGGUAUUAAUGUUGACAAUGAAUGCCACUAGUGUUCUUCAAACUCCUUACAGUUUUCUAAAUAUAUCUUAAAUAUUUUUCUCAGUGUUGUUCUGAUUAACAGCUAUAGAUGUAGGUGAUUUUAUUAAUCUUAGUUUCAUUUUAAGUAAAAUUUUAGAAAUUGUCUGCUUUAAAGAUGUAAUCCCUUAAUUUAUUGUCCUUUACCCCAAAGGGUUAAUCCAUUAACCUCUCAUUGUAAUAGGAGCUGGAACAUUUGAAGCCAAUGAAGUGUUUUACAUUAUCUUUCAUUGUGAAUUAAACAAAUAAUUUUCUAUCCUCUUUCCUCAAAUUGCUCUAAUUUAGGGAUCAGAUAGCUAAUUAUACAGAUCUGGAGCCAGUUUUGAGAGGGAUAAAAAUCUCUUCCAAAUACAUCUGCUUUGGCAGCCUGUACUGGGGACUUCUGUGGGUAGGGGGCUUCCCUGGGGGUGUUUAGGACUUAAAUAUUUGUUGCGUUAGGCAAUUUGAUGCUACUGGCAGUUUCAGGGAAUGGAAUUU